rnacentral:rRNA from 1 species
AACGAACGCUGGCGGCGUGCCUAACACAUGCAAGUCGAACGAGAAAACCCCUUCGGGGUGAGUACAGUGGCGCACGGGUGAGUAACACGUGGGUAACCUGCCCUCGGGUUCGGGAUAACGACUGGAAACGGUCGCUAAUACCGAAUAAGACCACAGGUUCUUCGGAACCCGGGUAAAAGGAGGCCUCUCCAUGGAAGCUUUCGCUUGAGGAUGGGCCCGCGCACCAUUAGCUAGUUGGCGGGGUAAUAGCCCACCAAGGCUACGAUGGUUAGCUGGUCUGAGAGGAUGAUCAGCCACACUGGAACUGAAACACGGUCCAGACUCCUACGGGAGGCAG